rnacentral:lncRNA from 1 species
GGAAGCUUUAUCUAUCCUGCCCCUUGGGGGACUGCGGCUGGCUUUCCCCCAUGAGACCUAUUCUGUAUUGAACAGGAAAGCACAAACAAUCACAAUGCCCAGCAAAGAUAAAGUGUUUUCCAUGCUCUCUGUUACGACAGUGAUCCCCAUAGAGACGUAAUCUUCAGUUUACGAAGACUUUUUUCUGAGUCCCAAAUUGCAGGAAUCUGUGGGGUUUUCCCCCUAACCUUGCCCUUCCGCCCUUUGUGGAUCCUCCUGGAAUGGUCCACGGGCAUCUAUAUCUGCUGUUCCCCAAUCCCACCAGCAAGGGGCGCGCGAGAUGAAACAGUUCUGUCCUGGGAUGUACCACCGAGGGGUAGCGGAAAGACCACCCACUCUGGAAGGUACCAUUGGGAGAGGGCGUGUGACAACAGAGAGGGUCCCCUUACACCGCGUCGGGCAUGGACCGCAGUUCCCAGCAGCGGCACUCAUGGCGCCACUAGGUCCAUCCCCACUCGCUCCUCUUCGUCUUCCCACUGCUUUUGAAUCCGAGUGGACACAGGACCAGCAGCCCAGUGUUGAGCAACCUCAACAAGAGGAACCGCCAGCUGAGAUUCAGGAUAUCACACCUGGGAAGGAGGAAGUAAAUGGAGAGGAUCCGGUGAAUCAUAAUGAAGAGAAGGAGGAUGCCUCUGGAGGUAAAGUGUAAGUGUGCAUCAUGUCUUAAGACAUAAGCAGUAAGAGGAGGAAAGGAAACAUUAGAAAAGGACUUCAGACAGUUCCUAAAAAACUGAGGAGAGUAUAGUUUGCAGGUCAGUGUGGUCGCUCAAAUUUUCCCUUGUUUUCAAGACAAAGAGAAGGGGGCACCUAAGUUGUCUGAGGACAACCCUGGGAAAGGAAAAUGGUGAUAGCAUUCGGAAAAUUCUGCUUUCCUUUUUCUCCAGCAAAACAUUCCUGGAAUAAUGCUCCUGAGGUUCUCAUUCAUCACAUUUUUACCAUACUGGCCUAAGACUUUUAAUUCAUAAUACUGAGGGAAUCAAUAUCAUCAUUCCCUUGUUUAUAUUGUAUGCUUUACAGCUGAAUUGAUACAUUUUUUUUUUAAAGAUUCUGAUCUGGAAACUGAUCUCCAGGAAUUGGCUGAGGCAAAGACUGGGGGUAAAGGUGGAGAUGGUCCCAAUGUCAGGGAGGAGGUUGCAUCAAAUACAGAGCCUGUUGAAAUGCCAGAAGCAGGUAUGUCAUCCAUUCAGAAAGUAAUUUAUGUGGUUUCUGUUUUUUCAGAAUAUUAUAUCUUUAAUAAUAUAGAAGGAACAUUACUAUUAUUUUAAUAACAGAGUUCACAUAUUCUUUGAAAGAUAGUUCAGACCCCCGAUGCCUGAAUGCCUGACUUACAGACUUUCAAAUAAAGAAACAGAGAGAAUCA